AACGCACAUUGCGCUACGACAGUCAAUGUCGUAGCAUGUCUGGUCGAGUGUCGUUUCCAAACCUCACAUCACAAAGUUACAUUUGUAUGUGACACUUUAGUUGAGAGUUCAAUUCGUUUUCUAUUCUUAAAAACAGUAGAAGUCGGAUCGUCUCUUUAAAUUGAAAUGACACAGUUGUAUAUCAAAUUUGGAGCUUUAUAAGCUCAUACAUUCUGAUAUAAGACAUUUUCCUAAAGUCCCAUGUGGUAAACGCCUCAUGGUUUCAAUUGAAGGAUAUAAUGGUGUCUUAUUUUUCAUGGUAUGAACUUUUCCUUAUUUGGUGUGUCGAUUCGAAAAAACACACACAAAAGUAAACAAGCGUAAAAAACUUGUUUCUUUUAACUGAACCUUUUUUCGGACAGACCUCGGCUCAGACAAGGCUACCCGCUGAAUUUAA
rnacentral:misc_RNA from 1 species